UUUUUUUCCCUUUGCUGAAGUCCUGUUGAAUAAAUGUGAGUAUUAACUGCUUCCUGUAGCCCUCUACAUGCAUGUCACUUACAGCUGUCGAGGGAUUAACCCCAUCCCUCCGGAUGCAUGCCACUCACAUCCAGUAGCCAAGUGGUUAUCCCCUGUCCCCUAAAGCCAUGUGACCCAAAUCCAACAGCCCAAGGGUUAACCACAUCCAUCUGCAUUGUAUGCAUGUCGUAUAGUAUCCUCGGCCCCAAGCAUACAGAGGGUCUUCAUAUGCUGCAAAUAAGGAGUUAAUCUAAGCUCUGUGAACACCUGUCACUCCCAGCCAGCAGCCUAGGGGUUAACUGCUAACCAUGUUACAGCAGGGCCACAUGGGACCCCUUGCUGCACGUUGUCGCAUUCUGAAUAUCAUUAAUGUUUAAAAGCAUUUGCUGCUGAACUCACCCACUCACUACUGCAGAUGUACUGCUCCUAGCAUAGAAUGCCAGGCCUGAUACCCACUCGUACCCCUCAACUAUAGGGAAUUCCAGGCCCUAAUAUCCACGCACAUCCCUAAACGGAUCACUGCAGAGAUGCCAGUAUUGGUUCUCCCUCACACACCUAAACUGCAGGGAACGCAAAGCUCUAGUACCCAAUCACAUCCAUAAAACUGCUGGGAAUGCCAGGCUCUGCUAACUUAGAGCUCUAAACUGAUCAAUACAAAGAUGCCAGGCCCUCAAACCACUUUAACUGAUUAACGCAGUAAAUAGGAAGCCUUUGUGCCUAUUUAUACACAUUUCUCUGAUACAUGUGAAAUGCUAGGCCCUCAUUCUUUGCACAACCUUUUAGCCGAUCGAUACAGGGGUGCCACCAUUUGCACCCACUCACACCCCCACUUUGAUUUAUGCAGGCAUGGCAGAACCUCGCCCCUUUUCAGUGCUGACAAUACCAGCUAUAUCAGACCAUGAUGACAAAACUGAACUAUGCAUUUAAUGCUAAUACCCCUUAAUUGAUAAAAAUGCAAAGCUAUGGUGCUUCCUUAUUUAAUCUGUGUAUGAUUGCUAGCUCUUUGUAGGCACUCACACCCCCUUUUCUAAACUAUGCAGUAGAUUCUUGGCCCUCCAACCCACUGAAGGUCUCACGCCCCCCUUGCCUGGGUCAUUGAAGUCAAGACUUGGCACCCACUUGUACCUAUACCACCUACUCCGAUCUGACCGAGAUUGGUAGGGCCUGGUACCCAGCUCUUCAUAUCUAAGGGGAAAAAAAGGCAUGACUGUUGGGAGAAGUGCGAGGCAGGGAGGGGAUCUGACGUUGGAUUGAAAGCUUGUGUAUAUAAUGGUGUGUUUCCAUCACACAGGUCUGGAAUCAUGUGGUGAUAUUUCCUGCAGCACUAACACGAGGAGAAUCUGCAGAGAUCAGCGAAGGGGGAGAGCUGGUGGAUCACCUCUGGAUGGGAGUCUUGCUAGCUGCUGGAGCAUCUGCCUGCGUCAUCAGCUUCUGCAGGGGAAUCUGUAAGUUUUCGUACUUGCUGGGAUGA